rnacentral:rRNA from 1 species
GAUGAACGCUGGCGGCGUGCCUAAUACAUGCAAGUCGAGCGAACGGACGAGAAGCUUGCUUCUCUGAUGUUAGCGGCGGACGGGUGAGUAAGACGUGGAUAACCUACCUAUAAGACUGGGAUAACUUCGGGAAACCGGAGCUAAUACCGGAUAAUAUUUUGAACCGCAUGGUUCAAAAGUGAAAGACGGUCUUGCUGACACUUAUAGAUGGUUCCGCGCUGCAUUAGCUAGUUGGUAAGGUAACGGCUUACCAAGGCAACGAUGCAUAGCCGACCUGAGAGGAUGAUCAGCCACACUGGAACUGAGACACGGUCCAGACUCCUACGGGAGGCAGCAGUAGGGAAUCUUGCGCAAUGGGCGAAAGCCUGACGGAGCAACGCCGCGUGAGUGAUGAAGGUCUUCGGAUCGUAAAACUCUGUUAUUAGGGAAGAACAUAUGUGUAAGUAACUGUGCACAUCUUGACGGUACCUAAUCAGAAAGCCACGGCUAACUACGUG